rnacentral:rRNA from 1 species
UACGGAGGGUGCAAGCGUUAUUCGGAUUCACUGGGCGUAAAGGGUGCGCAGGCGGUUGGGUGUGUCAGAUGUGAAAUCCCUCGGCUUAACCGGGGAACUGCGUCUGAUACUGGAUGGCUUGAAUCCGGGAGAGGGAUGCGGAAUUCCAGGUGUAGCGGUGAAAUGCGUAGAUAUCUGGAGGAACACCGGUGGCGAAGGCGGCAUCCUGGACCGGCAUUGACGCUGAGGAGCG